rnacentral:tRNA from 1 species
GGGUGAUUAGCUCAGCUGGGAGCACCUCCCUUACAUGGAGGGGGUAGGCGAUUCGAUCCCGUCAUCACCCACCA